AGGGCGCAUGGCGGAUGCCUUGGCUCUCGGAGGCGAUGAAGGACGUGAUAAGCUGCGAUAAGCUUUGGGGAGGUGCAAAUGACCUUUGAUCCAGAGAUUUCCGAAUGGGACAACCCAAUAUCUUGAAGAGGUAUUAUCCAACUUUGUUGGAGGCUAACGCAGGGAACUGAAACAUCUUAGUACCUGCAGGAAAAGAAAAUAAACAAUGAUUCCCCCAGUAGUGGCGAGCGAACGGGGAACAGCCCAAACCAUCCAUGUUACGGCAUGGGUGGGGUUGUAGGACUACGCCGUUGCAUGAAGACAUCAGAGAAGAACUUUCUGGAAAGAAAGACCAUAGAGCAUGACAGUUGCGUAUUCGAAUGUUGUCGAAGCAUAGUAGUAUCCUGAGUAGCGCGGAGCACGAGGAAUUCUGCGUGAAUCUGCCGGGACCAUCCGGUAAGGCUAAAUACUCCCGAGAGACCGAUAGCGAACCAGUACCGUGAGGGAAAGGUGAAAAGCACUUCGAACAGAAGAGUGAAAUAGUUCCUGAAACCGUGCGCCUACAAGCGGUCGGAGCUCGUUAAUGAGUGACGGCGUGCCUUUUGCAUAAUGAACCUACGAGUUGCCUUUGCCGGCAAGGUUAAGUGUGACGACACACGUAUCCGAAGCGAAAGCGAGUCUGAAGAGGGCGUAUAGUCGGCAGUGGCAGACGCGAAACCAAGUGAUCUACCCUUGGCCAGGUUGAAGGCUGGGUAACACCAGCUGGAGGACCGCACCAAUAAGCGUUGAAAAGCUUCUGGAUGAGCUGAGGGUAGGGGUGAAAGGCUAAUCAAACUUGGAGAUAGCUCGUACUCCCCGAAAUGCAUUUAGGUGCAGCCUUGCGGGUUACUGAUGUGAGGUAGAGCGACUGAUAAGAUGCGAGGGCUUCACCGCCUAUCAAGUCUUGACAAACUCCGAAUGCGCAUCAGUUCUACCGCAGGAGUGAGGGCAUGGGUGCUAAGGUCCGUGCCCGAGAGGAGAAGAAUCCGGACCACCUGCUAAGGUCCCGAAAUGACAGCUAAGUUAAACUAACGAAGUCUGACUGCUAAGACAGCUAGGAUGUUGGCUUGGAAGCAGCCAUUCAUUUAAAGAGUGCGUAACAGCUCACUAGUCGAGGAGUCGGGCGUGGAUAAUAAUCGGGUAUCAAGUUGUCUACCGAAGCAGUGGGAUCAUUAAUAUGAUCGGUAGGGGAGCAUUCCAGUCAGCGUCGAAGGCGUACCGUGAGGUAUUCUGGAGCGUCUGGAAAAGCAAAUGUAGGUAUAAGUAACGAUAAAGGGGGCGGGAAACCCCCUCGCCGAAAGACUAAGGUUUCCUGAUCAACGCUAAUCGGAUCAGGGUCAGUCGGGUCCUAAGGCUCAGCCGAACGGCGAUGCCGAUGGCAGAAACGGUUAAUAUUCCGUUACUACCUUCAGGAGUGACGUGGAGACGCAGUAGUGACAGUGCCGCCAUCUGACGGAAUAGAUGGUUGAAGGGUGUAGGAGUCGAUCAUGGCAGGCAAAUCCACCAUGAGAUCCGAACCUGAUAGUAUGCCGCGUCCUUCGGGACAAGGCAAUAGUGCGCGUAAGCAUGCUGCCGAGAAAAUCCGCUAAACUUAAUCCUGUAGGUACCCGUACCGCAAACGGACACACGUAGUCGGGAUGAAUAUUCUAAGGCGCUUGAGUGAUUCACGGUUAAGGAACUAGGCAAACUGACCCUGUAACUUCGGGAUAAAGGGUCCCUACCCUUUUAUGGGAGGGCGCAGAGAAUCGGUCCAGGCAACUGUUUAACAAAAACACAGGGCUGUGCCAAAUCGAAAGAUCCAGUAUACAGCCUGACACCUGCCCGGUGCUGGAAGGUUAAGAGGAGAUGUCAUCGAUAAGAGAAGCGUUGAAUUGAAGCCCCAGUAAACGGCGGCCGUAACUAUAACGGUCCUAAGGUAGCGAAAUUCCUUGUCGGGUAAGUUCCGACCUGCACGAAUGGUGUAAUGAUCUGGACGCUGUCUCAACCGUGAGCUCAGUGAAAUUGUAGUAUCGGUGAAGAUGCCGAUUACCCGCGAUGGGACGAAAAGACCCCGUGAACCUUUACUAUAGCUUAUCAUUGAAUCUGGGCACGUGAUGUGUAGGAUAGGUCGGAGGCUUUGAAGCAGGUACGCCAGUAUUUGUGGAGCCGCUGUUGAAAUACGACCCUUUAUUUGUUUGGAUUCUAACCCGUGGAACGGGGACAUUGAUUGGUGGGUAGUUUGACUGGGGUGGUCGCCUCCAAAAGCGUAACGGAGGCUUCU
rnacentral:rRNA from 1 species